UGUAGAGAAAGUGUUGGCGAAGCAAGCUGAGUACGACAAAUUAUUAAGUUCAUACAUGGAAUCACAGAGGCAAACCCAAGGAGAGUCUCAUAGAGAAACUCAAGGACCUGCAUAGGCAAUUCCUUUUUUAGUCAAUAAGUUUUUUGUGCGGAGAUGGAUUUGUGCCUUACAUGUCAUAGAAAAGUGUCUCCUAGUAUAACUUUUUUUGAUUAUUAGAUAUUUGGUGUUAGGUUGUAUGUUUUGAAAUGGUUUACACUGACUUGGAGCUGCACACAGUACAACCUUCACUGUGAAGGAUUUUGAUGUGGAAGUCUGGUUUUGCAGUACUUUGGUUUCUGUAGGCUGGGACCAAAUCAAGAAGUGGAAAAGCUUUGAGAUCAAUGAAGGAGGCUUCCAAUUUUCAGAUGAAGAGGUAUACCUUUAGGUUUUGAGAUGAAGAAGGCAGCUUCCAUGAUGAUCAAGACUUGCUUAGGAAAUCCUUGUUACACAAUAAAGAUGAGGAGUACACAUGUAAACUUACAUUGAUCUAUUAAUGUGGGAUGUUGGGGUGAAUUUCAAAUA